UUAGUCACCCGUACCCCAAACCGACUCAGGUGUUCAGGUAGAGAAUACCAAGGAGAUCGAGAGAAUCGUGGUUAAGGAACUCGGCAAAAUGCCCCCGUAACUUCGGGAGAAGGGGGGCCCGCGGUGUGAAGGGACUUGCUCCUGGAGCACCAUACGGCCGCAGAGACCAGUGGGAAGCGACUGUUUACUAAAAACACAGGUCCGUGCCAAGUCGCAAGACGAUGUAUACGGACUGACGCCUCCCCGGUGCUGGAAGGUUAAGAGGAACGGUUAGCCGCAAGGCGAAGCUGAGAAUUUAAGCCCCAGUAAACGGCGGUGGUAACUAUAACCAUCCUAAGGUAGCGAAAUUCCUUGUCGGGUAAGUUCCGACCUGCACGAAUGGCGUAACGACUUCCCAGCUGUCUCAACCGCGAACUCGGCGAAAUUGCACUACGAGUAAAGAUGCUCGUUACGCGCAGAAGGACGGAAAGACCCCGUGACCUUUACUACAGCUUGGUAUUGGUGUUCGGUGUGGCUUGUGUAGGAUAAGUGGGAGACUGUGAAGCUUGGACGCUAGUUCAGGUGGAGUCAUUGUUGAAAUACCACUCUGGUCACUCUGGAUAUCAAACUUCGAACCGUGAUCCGGUUCAGGGACAGUGCCUGGUGGGUAGUUUAACUGGGGCGGUUGCCUCCUAAAAAGUAACGGAGGCGCCCAAAGGUUCCCUCAACCUGGUUGGCAAUCAGGUGGCGAGUGUAAGUGCACAAGGGAGCUUGACUGUGAGACUGACAAGUCGAGCAUGGACGAAAGUCGGGACUAGUGAUCCGGCAGUGGCUUGUGGAAGCGCUGUCGCUCAACGGAUAAAAGGUACCUCGGGGAUAACAGGCUGAUCUUGCCCAAGAGUCCAUAUCGACGGCAUGGUUUGGCACCUCGAUGUCGGCUCGUCGCAUCCUGGGGCUGGAGUAGGUCCCAAGGGUUGGGCUGUUCGCCCAUUAAAGCGGUACGCGAGCUGGGUUUAGAACGUCGUGAGACAGUUCGGUCCCUAUCCUCUGCGCGCGCAGGAAAUUUGAGAAGAUCUAUCCCUAGUACGAGAGGACCGGGAUGGACGAACCUCUGGUGUGUCAGUUGUUCCGCCAGGAGCACCGCUGAUUAGCUACGUUCGGAAUGGAUAACCGCUGAAAGCAUCUAAGCGGGAAGCCGGCUUCAAGAUGAGAUUUCCAUGCCUUCGGGCGAGAGGCUCCCAGCUAGACUACUGGGUUGAUAGGCAGGAUGUGGAAGUGCGGACUAAAGACGCAUGGAGCUGACCUGUACUAAUAAGCCGAUAACUUGAUAA
rnacentral:rRNA from 1 species